AACGCGAAGAACCUUACCGAGGUUUGACAUCUCUGGAAAGUCCGUGAAAGCGGACCGUGCCGUAAGGAACCAGAAGACAGAUGUUGCACGGCUGUCGUCAGCUCGUGCUGUGAAGUGUACGGUUAAGUCCGUAAACGAGCGCAACCCUUGUCGUGUGUUGAAUUUUUCACACGAGACCGCCAGGCUAACCUGGAGGAAGGUGGGGAUGACGUCAAGUCAGCGUGGCUCUUACACCUCGGGCUACACACGUGCUACAAUGGGUGCUAACAAUGGGUUGCAAAGCCGCGAGGCGAAGCUAAUCCCACCAAACGCACCCCCAGUUCGGAUUGAAGGCUGCAACUCGCCUUCAUGAAGCCGGAAUCGCUAGUAACGGCUGGUCAGCCAUACAGCCGUGAAUACGUUCUCGGGCCUUGUACACACCGCGAGC
rnacentral:rRNA from 1 species